GGCUGUAUUUGCCUCUCUUCGAGCUGAUCGUUUCAUCUAGCGGUGAACAGGGAAUCAUUUGUUGGGAUCAGACUUGGACGUACCUUUCAUUGUUCAACGCCCAAAUCUGCGGCCUUUAGAAUAUGAGAGGAUGGACCCAAAAUAAGGGACUUGCCAAAACAAACAAUAGAGAUGAAAGAG